CAGCUUGCUGGGUGGAUUAGUGGCGAACGGGUGAGUAACACGUGAGUAACCUGCCCAUAACUCUGGGAUAAGCCUGGGAAACUGGGUCUAAUACCGGAUAGGAGCGUCCACCGCAUGGUGGGUGUUGGAAAGAUUUAUCGGUUUAGGAUGGACUCGCGGCGUAUCAGCUUGUUGCUGAGGUAAUGGCUCACCAAGGCGACGACGGGUAGCCGGCCUGAGAGGGAGACCGGCCACACUGGGACUGAGACACGGCCCAGACUCCUUCGGGAGGCAGCAGUGGGGAAUAUUGCACUAUGGGCGAAAGCCUGAUGCAGCGACGCCGCGUGAGGGUUGACGGCCUUCGGGUUGUAAACCUCUUUCAGUAGGGAAGAAGCGAAAGUGACGGUACCUGCAGAUGAAGCACCGGCUAACUACGUGCCAGCAGCCGCGGUAAUACGUAGGGUGCGAGCGUUAUCCGGAAUUAUUGCGCGUAAAGAGCUCGUAGGCGGUUUGACGCGUCUGUCGUGAAAGUCCGCGGCUUAACCCCGGAUCUGCGGUGGGUACGGGCAGACUAGAGUGCAGUAGGGGAGACUGGAAUUCCUGGUGUAGCGGUGGAAUGCGCAGAUAUCAGGAGGAACACCGAUGGCGAAGGCAGGUCUCUGGGCUGUAACUGACGCUGAGGAGCGAAAGCAUGGGGAGCGAACAGGAUUAGAUACCCUGGUAGUCCAUGCCGUAAACGUUGGGCACUAGGUGUGGGGACCAUUCCACGGUUUCCGCGCCGCAGCUAACGCAUUAAGUGCCCCGCGUGGGGAGUACGGCCGCAAGGCUAAAACUCAAAGGAAUUGACGGGGGCCGGCACAAGCGGCGGAGCAUGCGGAUUAAUUCGAUGCAACGCGAAGAACCUUACCAAGGCUUGACAUGUUCUCGAUCGCCGUAGAGAAACGGUUUCCCCAUUGGGGUGGGUUCACAGGUGGUGCAUGGUUGUCGUCAGCUCGUGUCGUGAGAUGUUGGGUUAAGUCCCGCAACGAGCGCAACCCUCGUUCCAUGUUGCCAGCACGUCGUGGUGGGGACUCAUGGGAGACUGCCGGGGUCAACUCGGAGGAAGGUGAGGACGACGUCAAAUCAUCAUGCCCCUUAUGUCUUGGGCUUCACGCAUGCAACAAUGGCCCGUACAAUGGGUUGCGAUACUGUGAGGUGGAGCUAAUCCCAAAAAGCCGGUCUCACUUCGGAUUGGGGUCUGCAACUCGACCCCAUGAAGUCGGAGUCGCUAGUAAUCCCAGAUCAGCAACGCUGCGGUGAAUACGUUCCCGGGCCUUGUACACAC
rnacentral:rRNA from 1 species